rnacentral:rRNA from 1 species
AUCAACUUUCGAUGGUAGGAUAGAGGCCUACCAUGGUGGUAACGGGUAACGGGGUGUUAGGGCACGACACCGGAGAGGGAGCCUGAGAAACGGCUACCACAUCCAAGGAUGGCAGCAGGCGCGCAAAUUACCCAAUCCCGACACGGGGAGGUAGUGACAAUAAAUAACAAUACGGGGUUCUUUUGGAUUUCGUAAUUGGAAUGAGUACAAUUUAAAUCUCUUAACGAGGAACAAUUGGAGGGCAAGUCUGGUGCCAGCAGCCGCGGUAAUUCCAGCUCCAAUAGCGUAUAUUAAAGUUGCUGCAGUUAAAAAGCUCGUAGUUGAAUUUCGGGACUAAUAUGUCGGUCGUGCCUCGGUACGUACUGGUAUUUUUGGUUUCUCCCUUCUGACGAACCUCGAUGUCAUUAAUUUGGUGUCUUGGGAAAUCAGGACUGUUACUUUGAAAAAAUUAGAGUGUUUAAAGCAGGCUCACGCUUGAAUACAUUAGCAUGGAAUAAUGAAAUAGGACGUUUGAUUCUAUUUUGUUGGUUUCUAGGAUCGACGUAAUGAUUAAUAGGGAUAGUUGGGGGCAUUAGUAUUCAAUUGUCAGAGGUGAAAUUCUUGGAUUUAUUGAAGACUAACUACUGCGAAAGCAUUUGCCAAGGAUGUUUUCAUUAAUCAAGAACGAAAGUUAGGGGAUCGAAGACGAUCAGAUACCGUCGUAGUCUUAACCAUAAACUAUGCCGACUAGGGAUCGGAUGAUGUUAAUUUUUUAAUGACUCAUUCGGCGCCUUACGGGAAACCAAAGUGUUUGGGUUC